UUUGAGUCUCCGUGUUGGCCCUUCUGAAGCGGAGUCACAAACCGGCUAGAAGGUGGUGACGAAGACGCGUAGGUGUCUUACUCCUUUCCUAGAAAAUUCUUCAUACUUGUGAACCAAAAGUGUGGAUCCGUGGCUGUUUCACAGGAGCAUUUGGCAGGGAAUGAAUUACUGAGAAUUGGGGCCUUUCCGGCCUCAGGGACCCUAGGAACGACUACGUUUUUCUCCCUUCAGAGAGCCCCCUCAGAGCCCGUUCCUCUGUGGAAAGCACCUGAGUCCCGUCCUGGGUUAGAAUCACUUGUUCCCUGCCCCCAAGACGCGGGACGCGGGCGUUGGGGGAAUUGAGCCGCCGAGACCUUCCCAGUCUCCCCCCCCCCCCCCCCCCCCCCCCCCCCCCCUAGACUGUGCUUGCUUUGCAGAUACGCCCUUAACUUGUGAAGGAAACGGGGAUUGCUUGGCCGGCUUGGCAAGCCCAGUGACAGAAAGUAACCACACAGGAUGGUUUCAUGAUAAAUUCCUGACUGGGUAGGUCACGGUGGAUAGUCCUGUCCCAGUCCUACAGCUUCCUUAGCAAAGGUGCAUGCAGUGGUCCUGCUCUUGCCGGAGCUCUUCUGCCAUGCGGGCAGCCUGUGGGAGACCAGGAGAAGAGCACGAGCUGGAGCUGGGUCUGCAUCCAGACUCAUAGUGCCUUUGAGAGCACUUAAUACAGAGCCUGGACAGAGCAGGUCUCCAGUAAACACAUGUUGAAUGCAUGGAACCAGCUAUACAUGCUUUAAAGACCAACCUGAUGAUGAAGAGUGAUAAAGGAGGACUUCACCUCUAUUUGUGUUUAUUUCUUAAGGCGAAGUGCCUCUGCCCGGCCCUUGGCUUCUGCAUCCAGGCUGGUCUGCAAAGACUCAAUGGCCCGC